rnacentral:lncRNA from 1 species
AUGAUGGUUAUUAUGUACACGUUAUAUGUAAACACCCAUACACUUUUUAUUAACUACUAAGCUGUCACAGAAUAUGUAUAGGAACAUGUAGUUAAUUGCUGGCAGACCAUUUGAAAACUUUAAAUUUACAUAAUUUACAGUGCCUUCAGAAAGUAUUCAUGCUUCUUGAUUUAUUCCACAUUUUGUUGUGUUACAGCCUGGUCUUAAUGAUGAAAUGCCCAUGCAUGUUAUGUAAAUGUGAACAUGAGUUAAUGCCGCCACUUCAGAUCACUCUGACGUUUUUUGUUGUACAGUACCCAAUGAUUUAUGACAACUUCCUUGAUAGGUCAAUGUCUUCAUUGUGGUUUCACUGUCUUGUUUAAAAUGUUUUAUGUACACACUUUAUUAUAAUUAUUAUGAAAUGCACAUUGUUAUAUUAUAGGGGUGUCAGGUAGCCUAGUGGUUAGAAUAUUGGGCCAGUAACCAAAAGGUUGCUAGAUUGAAUCCCUGAGCUGAGAAGGUAAAAAUCUGUUGUUUUGCCCCUGAACAAGGCAGUUAACCCAAUGUUCCUAGGCUGUCAUUGUAAGUAAGAAUUUGUUCUUAACUGACUUGCCUAGUUAAAGGAAGGUUAAAUAAAAAAUAUAAAUAUUUGUAACAUAUGCUUGUUUUCCUUAUACUCCAGGAUUUUGUGAGUGUUUUUAUUUUGCACACUUAUGUAGACAUUGCUCCAGCCACAUCCGUUCAACGUGUUUAAUGCUUGAGGCCUAUAUGUGAAGCUUAAUAGAGCACUGAUAUUAGCAAGAGCAGUGUGCAGGUUUCCUAUUUCUCUCAUCUUUUUAAGAAUAUAGAAAAUGGAUUGGUCAACUUUUGAUAGCCAAGUUUAAAUACUUGUGUUUUUUAAGCAGCAAAAUGCGGAUUUCUCCUGAAAAAUUGCAACGCUAAUGUGGAUUUUACUAUUUCAUGUAUUAUGUUUUAUAUUUGAAAAAACAUCCACUUUUGAUGAACUACGCCGAUUACUUUCACAGAAUAUGUGUGAAUUGCUGGUCGCUGGCAGACCAUUUGCAAAUUUGAAAUGCCCAUUCCUCUUUUAUGAAGUAACAUGAUUGGUGGGAUGAGGUAAUAGGCUGAUUUCUCAUGGGAAAAAAUGCAAUGCUAAUCUGGAUUUUACUGUGUAAUUUCACUAAAGUAUAUAAAUCCAUGUUCACAGCAGUUAUAGUGACUGUUGUGAAAUUAUUCACACCCUUGCAAAAGUUUUCACAUUUUGUUUCCUUAUUUUUAACAUUAUUCUUCACAAGCUACUUUUAUUCACAGAGAUGUCUUGAAUUAAUAAUUAUUCACACCUCUUGAUCUGGCGCACCUAAAUGAGUUGCAUAAAUUUGCUUAACAAGUUGCAGAUUAAGUUGAUAAGUGUCCACCGCUGCACAUUAAUAGUGGUUUAUGACCUGUCAAUAAAAUGUAUAUAUUUUUCUUUCUAUUCAGAAAACAACUGCAUCAACUAAGUCCAAAAUGAAGACACAGAAACUGACAGCUACAUUUUUUACCAUGGUGUUUUUAUGCUGGAAUAUCCAUGGAGUUCCGACCACAACUGCAGUUAACACAACUGAAGCUCCUACGACAACUGCAGCUCCUACGACAACUGCAGCUCCUACGACAACAACUGUAGCUCCUAUAACAAUAACUGCAGCUCCUACUACAACAACUGUAGCUCCUAUGACAAUAACUGUAGCUCCUACUACAACUGUAGCUCUUACAACCACUACAACUGCAGCACCUACUUCAACAACUACAACUGAAGCUCCUACGAUAACCACAACUGCAGCACCUGCUACGACAACUACAACUGAAGCUGCUACGACAACCACAACUUCAGCGCCUACAACGACAACUACAACGACAACUACAACACCUACUACGACAACUACAACACCAACUACGACAACCACAACACCUACUACGACAACCACAGCUGUAUCUCAUACGACAACAUCUGUAGCUCCUAUGACGACUACAACUGCAGCACCUACUUCAACAACCACUGCAGCUCUUACAACCACUACAUAUGCAGUUCCUACAACAACGACAACUGAAGCUCCUACGACAACCACAACCACAGCUCCAAAUACAAUAUCUGUAGCUCCUACGUCCACUACAACAGCAGCACCUACUACAACAACUACAAAUGCAGCUCCUACGACAACCACAACUGCAGCUCCUACUACAACUUUAGAUCCCACGACCAUUACAACAGAAGCACCCACUACGACCACUACAAACGCAGCUCUUACGACAACCGCAACUGAUACUCCUACUACAACUUUAGAUACUACGACCACUACAACAGCAGCACCUACAACGACAACUGUAGCUCCUACGACAACCACAACUGUAGCUCCAAGUACAACUGUAGCUCCUACCACCACAACUACACCACCUACUUCAACAACUACAACUGAAGCUCCUACGAUAACCACAACUGCAGCACCUGCUACGACAACUACAACUGAAGCUGC